UGGAUUUUAUUUGAGACAGUCACUAGAUGUCACCACUCUUUCUAUCUCAAUUGAAUAGAAAUCUACAAAUAUUUGUUUAGCUACGCUCUAAUAGAUGGUGCCACGGUAGCUAAAGUUAGCGUCCAUUUUGGUUUCUCUAAAUUAAAUUAACCAGGGUUGCAAUAUCUCUUAGACAGUGACACAGUAGCACUACUACUGACAUAGUGGCAAGUGUAUUUACACCUUUUAGUGUUUCCAUGCAGAAUAUAGUGUUUUCCGUAUAGAAAAUCUAUAAAAUCUUCGAGGGAAUGCAAUAGUGACGAAGAAUCUGUUGAAGGUGAUAGCGCAUUAGAAAACAGUAUAGUAUUAUUAUCUGCAAAAAAAAAGGUGUCUCCAAAUAACUUAUUGCAACAAACAAAUUUAGAUUUAGAUAGAGUGGCUUCAAGUUUAGAAAAAUGUUCAGUAUAUUAUUUUGCAGGGUACUUAUUUAAAAAAUGUUUUGAACAAUUUAAAUGUGAAAAUUGUAAAAACAAAUUAGAGGGCACAAAAUAUAUAGAAAAUAAGCAACAAAUAUUACUGUUUUAUAAAGAAUAUGCAAUAAAUGAUUCAAAUUGUCAAUUAAAAUAUGUUACCGAUUUGAUGGGCACAUUCACAAAAUAUGUCUUCAAAAAUGUUUUCUACCAUAUUUGAUGGAUGCUGUGUAAAAUGUGUGUUAUUUAAUAUAGCGUCAAUAUACAGUCAAUUUUGCAACAUCACUGAUGUAUUUAUUAUUUUUUUAUUAAAAUACAAUUCCUGAGAGGUGUUCAUUAACAGACUUUUUAGAGUUUUACGAUUAUUUCGGUUAAUACUUGUUAUUUUUAAAUUAGCACUAUUAUCAGUAGUAAUAACCCAAGGACAUUGAUAAUUGAUCGAAAAAAUUUUAUAACAGAUUUCGAAAGCUUGUUGCUUGGAAACAGACCGACGCCGUAGGUGGAGGUCUGUUGCCUGUAAGCAACAAGCUUGAGAAAGUUGUUAAAAAAUUUUUGAGCAUUUAUCAAUGUUCGAGGGUUAUUCGGAUAGAAAAUGUUUUGCUGGUUAUGAAAAAAAAAAUACAGAGCAGAAACAAUUUAUUUAAAUGUGCAAUUAACAAAGGAACAAUUAGAAAAAUUUAAUGAAGAUCCAGACAUGUUAGUUAAUUUCAUAAUUUCAUUAAUAUUCUCAUCAGUAUUACAACCAAAUCGUGACAUUUUGAAAUAUUGAAUAUUUGAAAUGUCAAAAUCGAAAUGAAACGAAAUGUAGGUAUCCAUAGCUACAUGGUUGAGUGAAAACAGCCCAUGGGAUCUGUUUUCAGUAUAAUGUUGGUUUUAUUGGUUGUAUUCAAUCAGAUGACCACAAAUUAAUUGAUUUCAUUGGAUUUCUAAUUGAGCAAAAAAUUUUCAGUAAAAUUAUGUCUGGGUUAUUAUAUUUUUCAGAUAAUAAAUACUUUAUUACGCACCAGUUGGACCCUUUUACGAAAUACAACAGGCCAUAGACUACCUACUUUAACUUGUGUCACAAAACUUGUAAAAAUUUCUAUUUCGACCUAUCUGGUUGCAGUUAUAAAUUUUAUUGGUUAAUGGUUUAUUGACUUCGACAAUACAAUGGCAGACAAGAAUAGAAAUGUUCUCUUUUAUUCCGCCCUGUCCAUUCAUAAACCCGACAUGAGUUUGAAUAUUUUAACAAUCCGUUUUUUACCUGCCAAUGUGCCAAUUCAUCAAAACACAGAAUUCGAAAAAAUAAAAGACGAAUAUUUUUAAGAGUUGUUUCGUUUGACGAUAAUUUAUCGGUUUUCGAAGGUACUGAAGAUUUGGAACAAAACCAUGAAACCACCCAACUCAAUAUUAAAGCGAAAGAUGAGGCAAAAGAUGAAGAUUUUUUCGAUUUUGUGGAUAUUCCAUCCAAUUUGGCAAGUCCUAACCGUUUGUAAUACUAUAAGAAGAUUUCUGGAGGGCCAAUUCAAUGUAAUUUUUUCUAAUUUGUAUAACUUAAAGAUUUAAAAAAAAAUGAGAAGAAAUUUUGUCGUAUGCAUUUUAAAUAAGAUAAUAUAUACAUGUGUACAUAUUGCACACAUCUCAUGCUUAUUAAUGGAUUUAUGCACAGAAAAUGUAAUUUGGUUUUUUAAUAAAAUAAG
rnacentral:lncRNA from 1 species